rnacentral:lncRNA from 1 species
GGUGUACAGACAUACGUGUGUAAAAACAACAGUAUACCGCAUGUCAUGCUCAUCUCAGCCAGACUGUUUAUACUACAAGCGGCUCUAUUCAUAUGCGUACAUGACAUAAGGCAGGGCUCAGAGGGAAUGUGGUGCUUGGCAGGAUCAGGGUCACGAGUUCUCCGAGCUGAUGGGGCUUUCUCCACUUUAUGUCAGUGAGAAACUACCAGGCUGACCUCUGCCAAUUCAGCUGAGGUUAGCACCAUCUGCGCCCGUGAGGAGGCCUGGCAUGAAGAGAUCUCUGAAUGGAGCUCUGACAGACCAAUAUCAUUCGUUCAUCAAAUAAAAGACAGAAGCCAGUCAUAUGCGUUUAGAGAUGCAAAAAGAUUUGAUCCGUUUAUCUUUCGAGUCCUCGAGUUUAAAUCAUCGCACUUUACAUGAAGUCACAAAAGUCCCUUCACACUUGCUAAAUGAUUUGACCACUUGAUUUGGACUGACAGUCUGAGUAGGGCUUUAGGUAACAGUUCCUGUGUGAGCAUUCAUUCUUUCAUCCCUACACUGUUGACUGUUUUGAUAGUGAAAUUUGGCUGAAAUAAUGCUAAUGUGCACCUUCAGAGGCUUAAAGUGAAGUUAACCAUCAAGCUUUUCACAUGAAGCAACCAUCUAACUGAUUUUGGAUGAAACAUACGCAUAGUUGAAUAUGUGAAUGUAAAGCUUUGUGUAUAACCGUUUACAAGGUGUUGUAUCUGGACAUCUUUGUGUCUGUGUUCCAUGUUCCAACAGUUUGUGCUGAUCCCAGUCGCACUGUGUUCAUUUGUACUGACUGUUCUUGCUCGUUAGCGGACUCUUGGGGGAAUAAGUACAUAAGAUGAGACUGUACACUGCCUAUCUGUUAGGUUCUUUAAA